rnacentral:lncRNA from 1 species
AUGUGGAGAGCAGGCCUAAAUCCAAUCCACAGCUUAGAAGGAGAUGCAGCUGAUCCUAUCCAACCCCAGCAGAACCACAGGAACCUGCAAACCUACAAAAAGAGUGCGAGGCCAGAGCAUCUAAGCAGACUGAUGAUACAGGGAGUGGCAGCUGGCCCCAGUGACAAGAGAGGAAGCAAAUGUCAUGAAUGUGACCAGCAGACAUAUCAGGAAGCUGUGCCUGCACCCUGGCGGCUGCUGAAGGCCCUGUGCUCACCCCACCUGUCCCAGAACCUGAGGAAGACGUCCAGGAGCGCGGUCUCUCAGCCCCAGCCAGCGUCUUCACUCACUAACACCUUCACCUCGUACCAACGAAUGCUUUAA